rnacentral:tRNA from 1 species
AGUUAAUGAACUUGAAUAAGUAUAUAUUUUGAAAAUAUAAAAAAGAAAUAAAAAUUUUCUAUUAACUU